GCCGUGGCUCAGUGGCACAGAGCACCUGCUUGGCAUGCAGAAGGUGCCAGGUCCAAUCCCUGACAGCAUCU